ensembl:snoRNA U3 Small nucleolar RNA U3
AAGACUGUAUUUUCAGAGCUCAUUUCUGUAGUUCAUUACUAUGGAAGUUUCUGUAAAUAUAUAGAGGUCUAGAAAACAAAAAAGU